UUUGAGAUAUGUGAAAUUGGAGAUUUGCAGUGAAAGAGAGCCAGAUGCUCAGCUGAAGGUGCUUCUGUAUAUCUGUUUUUUCCCUCAGUUCCGUAGGCCUCCACAUAGCACCAAUCAGGGAUGUCUGUUGUACCAACCAUCAAUGCCAGGUUACAUGCAGGAUUCCUUGUAGCCGCUGCAAAAAACUUCUCUGGUGCCUGCAUAUUUCAGGUACAAGGCUAUCAAAUUCAAAUGCAAAAUCACUAUAUCUGUUUUUUCCCUCAGUUCCGUAGGCCUCCACAUAGCACCAAUCAGGGAUGUCUGUUGUACCAACCAUCAAUGCCAGGUUACAUGCAGGAUUCCUUGUAGCCGCUGCAAAAAACUUCUCUGGUGCCUGCAUAUUUCAGGUACAAGGCUAUCAAAUUCAAAUGCAAAAUCACUAUCUAAAGCAUUCAACCCUGGUGUACAUAUGUUAAAACACUGGAGGCAAAUGAGAAGCCCAAGAAUCCAAUUCCAAACAGAAGCAUCCGAUAAGGGAAAUAUAGAUUUUUGUAUUAAAAGCACAAACUAGUGGUAUCCAUAACUUGAAAUACACAAUAACAAGAAGCGAAAUCCAUAACUUGAAAUGCACAAUGACAAGAAAUGAAACUUUAUACAGGAAGAUGGUUUUCUGUCUGAAAAAUGCACAGAUA
rnacentral:lncRNA from 1 species